GACGUAGGGCGCGAGCGUUGUCCGGAUUUAUUGGGCGUAAAGAGCUCGUAGGCGGCUUGUUGCGUCAGCUGUGAAAAACCCGCAGCUCAACUGUGGGCUUGCAGCUGAUACGGGCAGGCUUGAGUUCGGUAGGGGAGACUGGAAUUCCUGGUGUAGCGGUGAAAUGCGCAGAUAUCAGGGAGGAACACCGGUGGCGAAGGCGGGUCUCUGGACAGUUCCUGACACUGAGAGCACGAAGGACCAGGGGGAGCA
rnacentral:rRNA from 1 species